CUGGCGGCGUGCUUAACACAUGCAAGUCGAACGGAAAGGCCCUGCUUUGUGGGGUGCUCGAGUGGCGAACGGGUGAGUAACACGUGAGUAACCUGCCCUUGACUUUGGGAUAACUUCAGGAAACUGGGGCUAAUACCGGAUAGGAGCUCCUGCUGCAUGGUGGGGGUUGGAAAGUUUCGGCGGUUGGGGGAUGGACUCGCGGCUUAUCAGCUUGUUGGUGGGGUAGUGGCUUACCAAGGCUUUGACGGGUAGCCGGCCUGAGAGGGUGACCGGCCACAUUGGGACUGAGAUACGGCCCAGACUCCUACGGGAGGCAGCAGUGGGGAAUAUUGCACAAUGGGCGGAAGCCUGAUGCCAGCAACGCCGCGUGCGGGAUGACGGCCUUCGGGUUGUAAACCGCUUUCGCCUGUGACGAAGCGUGAGUGACGGUAAUGGGUAAAGAAGCACCGGCUAACUACGUGCCAGCCGCCGC
rnacentral:rRNA from 1 species